ACUCCUACGGGAGGCAGCAGUAGGGAAUCUUCCACAAUGGACGCAAGUCUGAUGGAGCAACGCCGCGUGAGUGAAGAAGGUCUUCGGAUCGUAAAACUCUGUUGUUAGAGAAGAACACGAGUGAGAGUAACUGUUCAUUCGAUGACGGUAUCUAACCAGCAAGUCACGGCUAACUACGUGCCAGCAGCCGCGGUAAUACA
rnacentral:rRNA from 1 species